rnacentral:tRNA from 1 species
UGGCUCAGUGGUAGAGUGCUUGCCUCACAUGCAUGAGGCCCUGAGUUCAAUUCCUCAG